GACGGACGCUGGCGGCGUGCCUAAUACAUGCAAGUCGAGCGCAGGAAGCUCACGGAACUCUUCGGAGGGAAGUGAAGGGAAUGAGCGGCGGACGGGUGAGUAACACGUAAGGAACCUGCCCCAAGGAUUGGGAUAACUCCGAGAAAUCGGAGCUAAUACCGAAUAGUUCUUCAGACCGCAUGGUCUGAUGAUGAAAGGCGCUCCGGCGUCACCUUGGGAUGGCCUUGCGGUGCAUUAGCUAGUUGGUGGGGUAAUGGCCCACCAAGGCGACGAUGCAUAGCCGACCUGAGAGGGUGAUCGGCCACACUGGGACUGAGACACGGCCCAGACUCCUACGGGAGGCAGCAGUAGGGAAUCUUCCACAAUGGACGAAAGUCUGAUGGAGCAACGCCGCGUGAGUGAUGAAGGUUUUCGGAUCGUAAAACUCUGUUGUAAGGGAAGAACAGGUAUGAGAGGUAAUGCUCAUGCUAUGACGGUACCUUACGAGAAAGCCACGGCUAACUACGUGCCAGCCGCCGCGGUAACAC
rnacentral:rRNA from 1 species